rnacentral:tRNA from 1 species
GCCGGUGUAGCUCAGGGGUAGAGCGUUUCCUUGGUAAGGAAGAGGCCACGGGUUCAAAUCCCGUCAUUGGCUCCA